ACACAUGGAGUUGUUCUGUUUGUGCUCUUCCCACAGGGAAUGGAUAGGGAACACAGGGCCGUCUUCCAACUGCGCAAGAGAAACAGGAACACAAAGUCAAAACCAUCAGGAAAAUGAAUGUGACACCUGAGAGGUGCCUGAAAAGGACAGGUGUGCUUUUCAGGAAGCCCUUUUCCCUCAGCGGCCUGAGCUUUGUGGACAACCCAGAUGUGGCUGGUUCUCCAAGGUUCUCUGCCUUCGCGUCCUGAUAGAAUCUUCAGAGUGUUUGUGGGAAGUGCACCGUUCUUGAACAUGAACUUUGUUGAUGACGUCGUCCCAUAAUGCCAAACGGCAGGACCUACCUGCAGACAUCAGUUGCUUGGAGUCCUCUUACUUACUCGCCAGAGUUUGAGGCAGUGAAAUACAUGCAUGUGUCUAAUGUGUACAGACAAAUCUUUGCUUGAUACUAUGCUACCACAAUACUCGGACAGACAACUUCUGCUAGUACACCUACCAGCAUGCAAUCCCUUGAGAAAAUCCAUCCAAGAACAUCUUGAUGUUAAUCGACACUGCAGCUCUCCACAUAAUUUUUGCUAAUACAAAACUCUGUGGAGGUUCUCAGGAUGCUUCAAAAACUCUAUGCCUGCCCAGCAGGAUAGAUAAAAUUCAUUUUUCAGUCUUUCAUAUGUUACAUCAUAGCACAGAGAAGGCUACCUUUCUACCCCUUUCCCAGUGAAUGCUGAAAUUCCUCUGGGAACAGGUGGGCAUUUGCAACGCGGAUUAAAAUGAAGCCCAGAGAGACUUUGUAACUGUGUCUUAAUAGCCACUUCAGUGCCCACAUCAACACACCACCAAGUCUCCCAAGGCUUUUAUGGUACCAACAAAGGAUGUUUUUGACCUUGUCAUUCUCAAUGUUGUAUGGUGUCUACCUGAAUACAAUUAGAAUGAGAAGAACAUAUGACGCUAACCCAUUCAACAAUCACACUGACCACCUCCCCACGUUCCCAGCUAAAUAUUGCUUGCUUACAAUUUAAUGUCACAAUUCAGUUUUUAUUUUGACUAAUGCUAUUUAAGCAGCUGGGGGAAUUAAUGCCUCAGCAGAGGCCACAGUCUUAACCAUGGUUUGUAAUUGCAAUCUGUGGGCUAUAGCCUCUGCCAUGUUGAGAGGUAUCUAAUUAGCCUUUGUAUCAAUACCAGAAGAAAAGGAGAGUGAGAGGAGGAGGCAGGGGUCAUCCCUGAGUUCCCCUGAGGGUCUGAAACAACUCAGCUGUCUCUUUUUCUGUCUUAAGAGUUCCCUAGAAACAAGAGGCUGAGUCCUUGUAGGAAGGAAAUUGCACCACUUGCAAUUUAUAGUCAUCAGGGAUCACUCAAAGAGUUAAGUGAUUAUUCUAACACACGUUUAGUCACCAAACAUACAUUUAUUUUCUUAAAUUAUUUUCUCUUGCCAACAGAAUUCAUUCCAAAGUAAUCGUAACAAGGAACAGACUGACUUAAAGUGAUGCCACAAUAUAACUGAUAUUAGAAUUAUUUGUUAACUCCUCUGAAGGGCCAUAAUUUGAUUUUACCCUUCCCUUUUUUGUUUGAGUUUUUAUUAAAAAAUUUAAUUAAAAUAUAACUACAUCAUUUUCCCUCUUCUAACCCCUCCUUUUUCCCCUCGCCCAGGUUCAAUACUUUGACUUUAAAAAUUAUUUAUAUCCUUACAUUUAAAAUUUUGUAUAUACUCAAUGUAAUAUUAUAAUAUCUGAGGGGUUCGUUAAGUUUAUUUCAUGGAGACCAGGCUUUGGAAAGGAUCCCAGAGGAGACAAACUGUUGGAGACAGUAAAAUUGAAAGAGAUUCACAAAUUGGUCAAUUAUCAAUUCAUUUUAACUUUUCCAGUCUGUGAAAAAGCUGAUUUUUAUUAACAAGUUGCCCUUUAUAAUCCCUUCAUGUAUAUUUUGAUUCCUUUGUUUUCAAAUGCAUUGCUUAAACAAAAA